rnacentral:tRNA from 1 species
CGUCAGUUCUCAGUCAAAGGAAAAAAAAAAAGUAUAAAAGACCACAAACACGCGAG